UGGUGUGAACAGCCAGGAACGUGCUUCCCCGUUCAGGAGGGGUUGCCUCUGGUAGGAAGAGAAAGUCAGAAUAACCCGGUGUUUCUGGAAGAUCGCCCUCCCAAGGAAAUCCCCGCUCUUUGAAGUCAGGGUCCCUGAAACCAGCCGCCCCCCAAGACACCUCCCGGCGUGUCGAGGGUGCCAUCUUGUGGAAGGACGAGAAAGCGAGCACAGGGAAGCUGCCAGCAAGUGCUCUGGACAUUUUGCUGCCGGUGAUUUUAAUUAAGGAC
rnacentral:lncRNA from 1 species